GCUCAGGACUGGAUGUAAGGUGUUUUAGAAAUGGAUGGCUUUCAUAAGUUCUUCUCUCUUCUAUGAUGUGAUAUUAUUUAUUAUUGUUCAUGUACCUUCAUUUUUAAUUUUUUAAAUACUUAAAAAAUAAAACUUUCAGUAUUAGAUAUGAAGUAUUGGUCAAGUUCCUUAAUCUUAGUGACUCUGUUUCUUGUCAUAAAAUUAGGGCAAUAACCCCAUUCAUUGUUUGUUCCCUUCCUAUCUCUUUAUUUUUGGAAGGAAACGCUGUUUUUGAAGUAAAUAGGACAACUAGCUAUAUGACCCUGGGAGGCCUGCAGUCUUUCUCACCCUAUUUUCAUCAGGAUUGCACGAGAAGAUCUCCGAAGUUCUUUUCAGCUGUGCAGCCAAGGCAUGAUAUCUUGUUACCUUUUUUUAGCUUAGAAAAGCAUAAAUGUAUUAUUUUCUAGUUCUGUAGAUUUGAAGUCCAACCCUGGUCUCACUGGGCUAAAAUCAAGGUGAUGACAGAUCUGUGUUCCUUCUGAGAGGCUCUAGGGGAAAAUGUGUUACUUACUUUUUCCAGCUUCUGGAGGCUGCUCGUGUUUCUUGCUUCUGAUCUUAACAUCUUCAAAAUCAGUACUAGCUGUUCAAGCCCUUCUCACAGCAUCUCACUCUGACCUCCUUUUAUACUGUUUUUUUUUUAAUCCCCUCUCAUUUUAUUUCUUUUAAUAAAAUGAGAGGUCAAAUUCAUAUAAUGUAAAAUUAAUCAUUUUUAAAUGAACAAUCCAGUGAUAUUUCAUGCGUUCGCAAUAUUAUGCAAUCACCAUUUCUAUCUCAUUCCAAAACUUUUUGUCCCCCUCAAAGGAAAUCCUGAGCAACUUAUUGAGCAAUUCCUCCCAAGUUUCUGCAUGCCCUACUCUCUGCAACCAUAAAUCUGGUUUCUAUCUCUUUGCAUUUAUCUAUUCUGGAUACGUCAUGUAAAUAGAAUGGUGUAAUAUUUGAUCCUUUUGUGCCUAACUUCUUUCAGUUAAUAUUUUUGAGGUUAAUCCAUGUAUUACCAUGGACAGUACUAAUUCCUUUUUCUGGUUGAAUAAUAUAUCGUCACAUGGCUAUUCCACAAUUCACUUACCCAUUCUUGCAUUGAUGAACAGUGGGACUGGUUUUCCCUUUCAGCUAUUGUGAAUAAUGCUGUUACAAAAAUGCAUGUGCAUGAUUUGAGUGUGUUCUUAAUUCUUUUGGAUACACACCAAUGAAUAGAAUUGUAAGGUCACAUGAUAAUUCUAUGUUUUAACAUUUAAGGAACCACCUAAAUGUUUUCCACAGCAGCUGAGCCAAGUUACCCUUAAUUUUAAAACAUCUCCAGAGAGCUACACUCCCUCCCUUUCAUGUAAUCCCCCCCACUUCUGCUAUUACCUCCCAGGAUUGCAGGGGUUCCUCUGACAACUACCAAAGCAGGAAGCCCACCUAAAGAAUGCUCUCCAUGUGCAAAACUGCCAGAAAUGCCUAGGAGACUGGCAAGGCUUUCUAAAGAGCUGCAGGCCUUUGGAAACUGAUGAAGCUGCCCUAUGCUGUCACAGACACCUGCUCAAAAUAUGGUAGGUGUUUUGUAAAUGCGAGAAGUAGUGUAAGGUCAAGGGAGCCAGCUGGCUUUUAGAAGUUGAAAAGAAAAACAAUUACGAUUUCACAGUCUUUCUAAAGUAUUUCUUCACAUCAAACCUUUUAUUCUUUUGGCAGCAGAAUAUUAACUGCCUGCUAUGCACCUAGCAUUAUGCCCUGAUUAAAUAUCAUGAUCGUUGUGAGCAGAGGACUCAGAUCUAGCUAGGAAAGCAGAUGGUAAGCAAAUAACCGUGUUAGAAUGUGACAAGAGCUAAGAAUAGAGUUGGACAGAGUGUUGUAAGGGUGCACUAGAUGGAGGAGAUUAUUGUGCCUAAGAAAUUGUUUUAAAAGGCUGGAUAGGAUAAGAGAUUUUCAGCUCCAUCAUGAAACAUGAAUAGGAAUGUACUCAUCAGAGAUGGGCCAAUGCCUGGAGUACUGUGAUCAAAGGCCUGGGACUACACACUCGCAGGACACAGCUAAGGGAAACUUUUCUUUUUUUCUAUUGUAUUUUUAAAAUUGUUUAUUAAAGUAUGGUUGAUUUACAAUAUUCCUUCAAUUUCUGCUGUACAGUGAAAUGACCCAACUACUAUACCUAUAUAUAGAUAUAUUGCUUUUUUAAUGCUGUCUUCCAUCAUGUUCUAACACUAGAGACUGUACACCGUUCCCUGUGCUUUACAGUAGGACCCCAUUACCCCAUCUGUUCUAAAUGUAAUAGUUUGCAUCCACCAACUCCAAACUCCCCAUCCAUCCCCUUCUUUCCUCCCCUCCCCCUGGCAAACACGAGUCUGUUCUCCAUGUCUAUCUGUUCCUUUUGUAGAUAGGACCAUCUGUGCCAUAUUCUAGAUUCCAAAAAUAAGUGAUAUCAUAUGGUAUUUGUCUUUCUCUUUCUGACUUAGUGUGAGAAUCUCUAGUUCCAUCCACAUUGCUGCAAAUGGCAUUAUUUUGUCCUUUUCAUGGCUGAGUAGUAUUCCCUUGUAUAUAUUACCACAUCUUCUUAAUCCAUUCAUGUAUUUUUAAUUGUAUUUUAUUUAUUUGAAUAUAGUCAAUUUACAAUCUUGUGCCAGUUUCCACUGUAAGGGAUCUUUAAAUAAUCAAGGAAAUCUAAAAACAAUAGACUGUGUGAAGUUGGGUAUAAGAGGGUGAAACUGGAGAAUAAAUAUUUUGCCUUAUUACCAGGUGGAAAUGAAGUACCGGGCCUUGCCAGGCUGAGACUGACCCCUUGGAAAGCAGCCCCCUCCUGACAAUGGGAGUCCUCUGGGGUAUCACUCACCCACCCUGGCUAAGCAUUUACAUCAAGAACAUGCAACAAUGUGUGACUCACUUCUGGGGGCACCAUUUGGAGGAUUUUAAGACCUCAGAAUAGCAUUUCUCUGUAUUUCUAAAUGCAUUUGUCAAAACCCUAGAAAGUUCUAUUGUAUAGUAUAUAAGCACAUAAGCCUUGCAAGAAAACAGCCCUGAGUGACUGCUUUUUCUCUCUAAGCAUCAGUUUUCUUAGCUGUAAAUGGGUCUUAUGAAAAUAUGUGCCUUGUAAAGUGUUGAGAGGAUUAAUCAACCAAAAUAUGUAUAAAGUUCUUAAUACAGUACUGAGCUCACAGCAAGCAUUUAUACAUAUGACUUAAAAAUAUUCUUAAUGAGACACUCUAGGGAUCCAAACUGAUUUGGUAUCUAGGGAAAACUUCAGCUUUCUCUUAUGAAACAUUUGGAUCAAGGGGUCAGUUAGAGCAACAAAAUCUUUAUCACUAAAAUUCUGAAAAGAUCUUGAGUUUUUGUCAGUUGGCUU
rnacentral:lncRNA from 1 species